AUUGAACGCUGGCGGCAGGCCUAACACAUGCAAGUCGAGCGGAUGAAGGGAGCUUGCUCCUGGAUUCAGCGGCGGACGGGUGAGUAAUGCCUAGGGAUCUGCCUGGUAGUGGGGGAUAACGUCCGGAAACGGGCGCUAAUACCGCAUACGUCCUGAGGGAGAAAGUGGGGGAUCUUCGGACCUCACGCUAUCAGAUGAGCCUAGGUCGGAUUAGCUAGUUGGUGGGGUAAAGGCCUACCAAGGCGACGAUCCGUAACUGGUCUGAGAGGAUGAUCAGUCACACUGGAACUGAGACACGGUCCAGACUCCUACGGGAGGCAGCAGUGGGGAAUAUUGGACAAUGGGCGAAAGCCUGAUCCAGCCAUGCCGCGUGUGUGAAGAAGGUCUUCGGAUUGUAAAGCACUUUAAGUUGGGAGGAAGGGCAGUAAGUUAAUACCUUGCUGUUUUGACGUUACCAACAGAAUAAGCACCGGCUAACUCCGUG
rnacentral:rRNA from 1 species